rnacentral:lncRNA from 1 species
GAAUGACAAUUCCAUCAGUCGAUAAGCACCAGGCCUUUGGGCCUCCAAUGAUUAUCCAACUGAUGGACCCAUUAUCAUCCACUUAAUGAGAGGCUAUGAUCUAGUUAUCACCAUAACUAUUUCAUUUUAAGGACCUAAUAAUUUUAGAAGAUUUAAUUGAUUUAGAGGAGGAGGUCAGAUGAACCAGCUUAUCAUGAUCCUCCCACUGGCUUCACUAAGUUAGCUUAAGGGAGACCAUUAAAAGGGUUGGUCUAGGAGC